GUCCACGCCAUAAACGAUGAGGACUAGACGUUGGGAGGGUUAGCCUUUCAGUGUCGCAGCUAACGCGAUAAGUCCUCCGCCUGGGGAGUACGGCCGCAAGGUUGAAACUCAAAGGAAUUGACGGGGACCCCGGCACAAGCGGUGGAGCAUGUGGUUUAAUUCGAUGCAACGCGAAGAACCUUACCUGGCCUUGACAUCUGUCGAAAUCCUGCAGAGAUGUGGGAGUGCCUUCGGGAACGACAAGACAGGUGCUGCAUUGCUGUCGU
rnacentral:rRNA from 1 species